rnacentral:rRNA from 1 species
AUUGAACGCUGGCGGCAGGCCUAACACAUGCAAGUCGAGCGCGCGGGGGACGGGGGAGUAAUGUAUGGGGACUGCCCGAUAGAGGGGGAUAACACCUGGGAACGGUAGCUCAUACCGCAUCCUCUCGGAUAACCCCUAUGGGAUUAGAUAGUAGGUGAGGUAAUGUCGCACCUAGGCGACGAUCCCUAGCUGGUCUGAGAGGAUGACCAGCCACACGGGGACGGAGACACGGCCCCGACUCCUACGGAGGCAGCAGUGGGGAAUAUUGCACAAUGGGCGCAAGCCUGAUGCAGCCAUGCCGCGUGUAUGAAGAAGGCCUUCGGGUUGUAAAGUACUUUUGGCAGAGAAGCGGUAUCUGCAGAAGAAGCACCGGCUAACUACGUGCCAGCCGCCGCGGUAAUUC